GACGAACGCUGGCGGCGUGCUUAACACAUGCAAGUCGAGCGGUAAGGCCCUUUCGGGGGUACACGAGCGGCGAACGGGUGAGUAACACGUGGGUGACCUGCCCUCAGCUCUGGGAUAAGCCUGGGAAACCGGGUCUAAUACUGGAUAUGACUCCAUGACGCAUGUUGUGGGGUGGAAAGCCUUGUGCGGCUGAGGAUGGGCCCGCGGCCUAUCAGCUUGUUGGUGGGGUGANGGCCUACCAAGGCGACGACGGGUAGCCGGCCUGAGAGGGCGACCGGCCACACUGGGACUGAGACACGGCCCAGACUCCUACGGGAGGCAGCAGUGGGGAAUCUUGCGCAAUGGGCGAAAGCCUGACGCAGCGACGACGCGUGAGGGAUGACGGCCU
rnacentral:rRNA from 1 species